rnacentral:rRNA from 1 species
CGGGGGGGCAAGCGUUGUUCGGAAUACUGGGCGUAAAGGGCGCGUAGGCGGUGCUCUAAGUCGGAUGUGAAAACUCUGGGCUCAACCCAGAGCCUGCAUCCGAAACUGGAGUGCUAGAGUUCUGGAGGGGGUAGCGGAAUUCCUGGUGUAGCGGUGAAAUGCGUAGAUAUCAGGAGGAACACCGGUGGCGAAGGCGGCUACCUGGACAGAAACUGACGCUGAGGCGCGAAAGCUAGGGGAGCAAACAGGAUUAGAUACCCUGGUAGUCCUAGCCCUAAACGAUGGAUACUUGGUGUGACUGGGAUUGAAUCCAGUCGUGCCGAAGCUAACGCAUUAAGUAUCCCGCCUGGGGAGUACGGUCGCAAGGCUG